ensembl:lncRNA
CUGAUCACUGGUUAACCACAAUACCAGCACACCCACGUCGUCCUGGUUCUGAAAACAAGACCAGAUUGUUUCGGUAGUAGUAACCUUUUAAACACAGGCGGCAUAGAAGUCCAUUUUUUUUUAAAAUCAUGGUUGGGAGUGGACACAUCAUACAUCAUAUGACACGAUUUGAAUGACAACGGAGCAGUCGUUGAGUCAUUUGGAGGAACGUAUAUAUUUACAAUGAAGUGUUUGACCAUCAUAAUGAACCUGCAAGGUCUACAAGUGCAAAUUCGUAUUGAUCUUCUUUGUUUUUUUAAACUUGACAGGGAUGUGUAAGUGUUCACCGCCAUUACCAGAUACGAGGGUAUCCUGGUCCCAGACAGGCCUCUGUGCUCUUGUCAACUUCAUUGCUGUCAAACGGCAUGACUAUGAGCGACGGGGAGAUGGCAUGAUAGCACAAACACACUGGCUAGGACAAGGGUAGUCUUUGAACUAUUUUAUGAUGCUUUAAAUACAGAACACAAACAAUAGUCAUAGACUAUCCAAAUAAAUGGAAAUACAUGGUCUAGAUGCUCUACAGAUGGUCAUACAAUCAACAGACUGUUGAUAAGCAACUGCUUGCUAAGGUUACGGUUAGGGUAGGGGUUGGGGUAGGGGUUAGGGUAGGGUAGGGGUUAGGGUAGGGAUGGGGUAGGGGUUAGGGUAGGGGUUAGGGUAGGGGUUAGGGUAGGGGUUAGGGUAGGGUAGGGGUUAGGUUUACAAUAGAUGUUAGGGUAGGGGUUAGGGUAGGGGUUAGGUUUACAAUAAGGGUUAGGGUAGGGGUUAGGUUUAGAAUAAGGGUUAGGGUAGGGGUU